UCUGCAUCUCACGCCUCCCUCACUCCCUUUGAGCCCCUCAUGCGCCUCCGUGCUCACAUUCGUUGAGUGUGCCAGUUCCCGUGUGUGCGAUUGCGCACUCCCCCCUUCCUCCCUUUUCCACUUGGUCUCCCACUUCGCUUGAGUCUAGGCCACACGCACGAUUCCACCCGCCACCCCGCCUCCCUGCCUGCCUUCAACUCGCUCUGUUUUUUUUUUUGCUGUUUCCGUGAGACCUUUUCUUUCUUUUCUGCGGAUCUUGUAGACAGUCGUGUCGCCAAGGGGCACGUGUGCUGUGAUUGUGCGCUGCUUGCCAUUGUUGAUCCCACUCGACUUCACCCGUCUCUCCCCCUCGCCGCAGGCUGCCUCUCAACAGAUUGUGGGGAUUUACAUGGCGCACCUGUACGUGAGCCACUCUGCUCCUCCAUUGGCACACUCAGCCACGAAGGAGGGACCCGCUACGUACCUGGAUCAGGUCGUCGGCGCUGCCGCGAAAGACGUCAUUUCCGGCCACAAAUCUGAACGCUCGGCACGGGCUUCUGUGUUUAACCUGCCCAGUGCCUCUGCGAGACGGUGGUCGCCGUUUACGGAGCGGUGCGGCUUCAAGGGGGCAACUGAAGAAUCGGCGUUCGAGUAUGCCGAAUCGGCUGCAGUCGACGCCGCAUCUCUAAUCAGCGAGCCCGAGCCGGCUCUACAGCCGUCAUCACUUCUGUCCUCAUUACCCCAACGAGCAAAAGACAGCCCCAGAAAUGCUCCCCCGGUGACGGUGCACCGCAAAUGGCCUCGUCAGCGCCUUCUUCCCUCGAUGCUGACGCGUAUCCGUCAUGCGCGCGGGGCAACUUUCGAAGUCGCAGCAGUGACCGCAACAGCGCACCAUCCAUACGAUGACGAGCAGGCUUUUCCAUCCACCGCGAGUGCAAGGGGCGUUGGUUGGGCGCGUGCUGUGUCGCUACCGACACUGGUGGAGGCAGUGAAACCUUCGCAGCAGCUACCGCCCAUCCGCCCUUCCCCUGCAGUAGCGCCGGAGCCGUGUGCCGCCGCUGCCGCAUCCUUCGCCUUUGUGCAGCAGGCCCUGAUCGACUACGAAGCACUCUCCCGGCGCGAUCUCAUAAUCGAUUUUUACGCCGCCUACCCCACACAGUCAGUAGUUGCCUUUGAACUACCACCGCCAGAGCUUGCCGCAGUCGCCCUGAGGACGGUCACGCGCAAGCCACCACCGCCGUUCCUCUCAUCUCCAUCGACCGGCGAGAGGCGAUCGGUGCCUUCACCGAAGAAGGCAACGGCCGCUACGUACCCCAGAGGCGCUUCGGCUGUCCACUUGAGCCGCCUUCGGCUGGUGUUUCCGGGCGCUCUCUGGCCUUUUAUCCUCCGCCAUCACCGCCAGCUGCUCACCCGCACGCUGAGGCGGGAUGUCGAGGCCUUUGUAUUUCCCAGUGAGGCGGUCGAGGUCCUUAGCCUGCACGCUGCAGGGGCGGAGAUGGAAGUCAUCCUGUCUUUAAAAGAGUCUUCUGACUCGCAGUCGAAGAUCUCAACCGCCCUUUUAGCCAGCUCCUUUGCAGAAUCGUGGGAGGUGUACAACCUGGUGGCGUUCUUCCUUUCGCGGGAGGUGACCCCGACACUACCUCAGUCGGUGGUAUGGCCGCCCUGGUGGCAUGAAAGCAGCACUCGCGCCAGCACUGCAACGCCGCAUACAGCGGUGGACGAGGCUGCGAGUUCCCCGCAACCGACGGCAGUGCCACCACCACCUUCGUCCCCAGUGCUGCGCAAGCACCAGAUGGCGCCAACCUUGUUCACACAGGCGUCGCUGUCGAAAAUCAGCGCCACUGCCGCGACGUCGGCGGCGCACCAGCCGCUGAAGCUGAUGGUACCUUUGCUGUUCCUUGAAAAGGCCUCCGAUGCGCUGCAGAAACUCAUUGAUACCGCGCCCUCACAGCUGCGGCUGGCGCUCCUCCGGGAUACCAUGUACGCUGUGCCGGAUGCGAGCGACGUGCAAGUUCACUCGUGGGCGGUUCAGCCAACCGGCCUCUACGUCAAGCUUCUCCUGCGCUGUGCGGAUGGAAACGGUGAGCACGUGGCGUCCGACUCCGAGACGGCAAUCAACUGCUGCUCGUUCACCGAAACGUGGGACGUUAUUCGAUCCUACACCACCGGCCUCGCAUCCUUGGCCGUCGAGGUGCCUAUUGUUGCUAAGCGCUGCGCCUCAACGCCGAGGACCGCCCCCGCGUCGCAGCAGGUGGACAGGAGUAUUAUGACGACUGCUUCCACCCUGGCGACUACCGUGACUGCGGCCACGCCACAGUCGGAGUUGCUUGUGCGCUCCGCCUCGCCGUGCACAGAGGAGGUGCGUCGACCAUGGUUGCUGUCUGAGGAUGCUGUGCUGAACGCCUCUGAGUACGCAAACAGCGAACGGCAUAGUGUCAGCACCACCAGCACUGUUUACAGCUUCAUUGCUCGAAAUGGUGCCAUCCUCAGCGCUGAAUCUUCCUCUGCGAGCGCGAACGAAAGCUUCGGCUCGGAAAGCUCUGUGGCGGCGACACCACGCCGAAAGCGGGCGGUGGUGCCACUGAAGAGGCGCGCCACCACCACGGCAAAGAUACGCACGGCUCCAACGGUCGCGACUGCGAUGGCACCGGGAUGGGUGAAUGAGUCGACCAGCAAGUCGUUCCUCACGCAGACAUACUCGACGCAGGUGUUGCUUUGCGGAACCCUCUCCGAGUCGAAAGUCAAGAGCAUCGGUGCCCCUCGCACGAGCUCGGCCUCAACGCCGACGUCGCCGCUGUCACCUCGGGUGCGCCCAAAGAAAGAGGACGCCUCUUCAGUGACGGGCGUGCUCGAACGUCGACCACAAGACAUUGCUGAGUCGGCCAAAUACUCCUCCGUGCGACUCACGCCGGGUACAAUCGCGGCCGAAAGUACGAUGGGGCACCCCAACGCUUACGUGCCCGACUCGGUGAAGGCAAACAGUGACGCAAAGACGGCGAGCAAGUCCCUGCCGGCGUCCUUUCUGUUUCCAACGUUGCUACCCAUACCACGGGACUCGUCGGAAAAGCCGGCAGUCGUCGGGCAAGAUCAGGAAGACAAGAUCACGCAAGCGAUGUACGACAGAGAGGAAGAGGCGGCGGCCACUGAGCUACAUGAUCUGCUUAAGCCACCACUGGAGCAGAAGCCGACGUCCUUGUCACGGCACACGAUCACAGAGCGCCAACUGGCCCAUCAGCAGCAGCGUGUCAGCUUUGAAGCGAAUGGAUAUGCAGGAUUCACGGACGCCGGCGUCACCAACAAGGAGUCGAGCACCACUUCAUCCCCUUCUGAGGACACUGCGAUGGCGGCUGACUUAGCAACGGAGAAGGCCGACUUGGACGGCGCGCAAGGAACGCAUGUUUCUUCCAUGGCGGGGGAGAAAUGCGAGGCGCUGCGGGAGCCGUACCCGCUGCAGCUGCACCGCGCGUUGAAGGAAGACGUGCACACUUUCUUUGGCGCGCUCACGGGCGCGAUAGAGAAAGUGAUCGUCAGGCGCGCCGACAAGCUCUACGAGGAAGUGAUGGGUGCAUCAGGUGUGGUGCUGCAGCCGUCCAAUCUGGAGCUGAAGGCGGAGGCGAGCGCCGCCGCCCCCACUACCUCAUACGUCUUUUCGCCAGCAACCGUGGAGCUCCUCCCAGUGCUGCGGACGCUCCACAUGACAGAUUUCCACACACAGCACGCUCAGCGCCACCUCCGUCCGCGGAGCUCGUUCGCCGUGUCGUCCAGGUACAGCGCGGCAGAGGCUACCAUGCAGCGCCGCGCCGUUCCCAUCGAAAGCCUCGUGGAUGCCACCGCGAAGGCUGUCACUAUCAAUCAAGUGGAAGUACUCUCGCCGCUCUCUGCGUCAGUAGAGUCUUCGCCAGCGAAGCGCGGACCAAAGUUUCACUACGAACUCUCUAGCGCCCUGCGGGAUCGUCUGCUUGCAGACCGCGGCAAUGGCGUGACGAAGGCAGCGAUGCAUGAUGUCAACGCUGUGUUGGUGCCCACCAAGACCGAGAUGGCCCUGCAGGAGGUGACCGUCGCUGACGGUAGCUCGCGGCAGGCCGACUUCUCCGUCCCAACAGAUGCGCUUGAGCGGUCGCCGCUGCUUCACCGGUGCGCACUCACCGAAUCCUCCGCAGCCUGCGCACCCGUGCGGGUGCUGCUUCGUCGCUUCUUUAACGUCCCGGGGCUCACCGACGAAAAGCUGGCAGGCGAGCUGGAGGCAGUGCGCACGCUCUUUUCCGCAGAGACGUGCGCCGUGCUUGACACGCCGGAUGAUGUGGUGGAGGACCUGCAACUCUCCGGCCACCUCACGGUGGAUGCGACGGUGCGGUUGCCGAGCACUAACUCUGUGGCAGAAUGGUGCUCGCUGCUGUUGGAGCAUGACUACCCGAAGGUGAAUGAGCUGCUGCACGAGUCGGCAGCGGCACGAGCGCCGGGGGCACCACCACACGUAGAGGCAAACGUACAGCCGGAGGCGAUGCGCUGCAGUACUCUCUUAUCCAGCUGCACGUUGAAGCUCCCACCGACGGCCAGUGCGGCGCCGGUAGGGCCAGACGGCCGAGACGCCAGCUCACACGCCGUCUACGUAGAAGGCGACUUGUGGCCAGCGUUAAUAGAGCAGCGUGCUGAUGUGCUGUGCGAGGCGCUCAUCUCAGACGCCACCGCAGCUCUCUCCGCUAUCGGGGGCUCGGUGCACAGGGUGAGCGCGUUGCCGUACGCCAACGGCGCGCUUUUCACGCUUCAUCUCCACAGCUGCGGCGCCAGGUCGCUGUGCGCGGUGGAGGACGCGCUACAGCAAUGCCCUCUCACAGCUGCCCGGGCGCUGUGCCGCCGCUUCGGCGGAACGUCGCGCCACCUCCGCAAUCAUAACGUAACGGACACCAUGUACAGAGCACACCUAGAGGGAAAGGCAUGGAGGCAGGUGCUGGAGGAGCACGGUGACCUCCUCGCUGAAACCUUUGAGCGGGAGGCGCUGCAGUGCCUGCGUGGCAGUGAAGUCGCCGCAAUGCCUGUCACCGUUGCCGUGACGGGCAUUGCGGCGAAGCCGGACGGGAUCACGAUCGCGUACGAUGUAGCUAGCACGACGGUCUGUGCUGACGUUGAUCGAGGGCGAGUGGCGCACGCGAUCAUCGAAUACCCCUUCCCUCAGCUGUGGAAGAUGUAUGACAACUUCAUGCUGGCCAGGGAACCGCUCAAGCACAGCAAGAACACGCUCCGGAUUGCCCCCCGCCAUCUUAGCACAAUGCUCGACGUCGCCGAGGUCCCGAACCAACGCCAGUGCUCGCACGGCGGGCUUACGCUGGAAAUGUCACUCGACACUCUCGAGGCAAACAUGGCGGCCAUUGUGCCCGAUGGCAAGCUCGAGAGAGCAGGUCCGCUGGCUGUCGGAAGCAAAGCCGAGAUGAUGAAAGGGCAGAAGGUGUACGAGCUCAAUUACUUGUCAGCUCCAGCCGCGGUGUCGGCGCUUCCAGUCGCGGAAGUGCCGCGGGAGGCUGCUGUCGUGCUUAGCGCGCGGGCCUCUCUAGUGGACAGCGCGGAAGCGACGGAGACGCCUCCAGCGGCAGCCGUAGUGUCCAAUGUGCGCGUUGUCGGGUUGGAGAGAGACCGCAUGGAGGUGGAUACACGCGUUGCAAACCAGCCGCCCCCACUCCCUCGUCUGCAGACAUCCUUGCCACAGCGGAGGGAGCCGAGGGUGCACCAGCAGGAGCAGCAGCAGCAACGGCGGCACGACGGGCAGAGACGUGUCAGGGAACAGACAACGAACACUUGCGAGCACCGAGCGCCGACGUACGCUGCGACCGUGUCAUUCAUGGAAACGGAGUAUGAGGAAGACGACGAAGCAGAUGAAGAUGCCGCGUCGUUGGAGAGCGACGGAUUCGCUGAGCACACAGCUGCGCUGACGCCUGUUCCUCUGCGCCGCAGCACAGCCGCACGGACGGUAGGCUCGGCCCGCGCCGCGCCAGUCUCUACCAAGGCGGCUCCCGUCAUACGCAUGCCCGUGACACCGUUACCGCCUUUGAAGGUCUUCAGCAACGCGGCGUCGGUGGAGCGCCGCACGCCGUGGGCUGUCGGACCGAGCGCUCGCCUUCCCAAAACUCUGCAAGGCGUCGCUGCCUCAGCGAUCCCCUCCCUGUCGCCCGUCUCCAUCCGGAUCGCUGCGGCCCCCUCUCAGGUGCCACUGAAACAAGCACUGCGUGCUGCCUCAGCGCCUGCUCAGAAGAGCCCCCUAUCGGGUCUCGACUCAAGCUUGGCAGGUGAGGAGCCUAUGCGUCUGCCAACGCUUUACGCUGAAGGGGAAGGGAAGAUGCACGGCAAGUCGCGGAUAUCAGCAUCGUCUUCCCCCGCACGAUCGCUACCUCUCGUGAAGGUCUGCCCGGCGGCGCCGAUCACGGUUGUGGACAUGCGCAUGGAACAUCCGCCUAAGACGGAUGUGCUUGAAGCAAAGCCGGCUGUUAGCACCAUUCCCAUACUGAGCUGCCCUCGGUCCAGCGCCCAUUGUUACUCAGGUACCAAGACCGCGCCUUGCGCGCUUCUGCAGACGAGCCAGGUCAAUACGGCAGCGAGGCACCUCUACACUGCUCCGAAGCUGCCCUCGAGCGAGCCGACUUCACUCUAUUACAGCCACUCUCCGCAGACGAUCACAGUUGCGUCCUCUUCUCAAUACGGCAGCGCGUCCAAGAUGCGAUCCAGCGUCCUUAGAUCCGUGCCCGCGUCACCUCUGCCAACGACUAGGAUGCUUCCGCGCCACUCGUCGUCGUUCGUCUUCGUUGCUACGGAACCGAGCCGCAGCCUGCAGAGGUUGCAGGACGACUUUGACUUGAUCGAGAGGACGAUCCGUGCACGCUACUCUUGCAUGCAGCGCGAGCUCAUAGCGACGGUCACGGCCGCUCUACCCGGCUUGUAGAAAAUGCAUAGUGCAGGCAGUAUGCGCUGCAAGAUUUACCGACAUGCGACAUGUAUUGCUGCUGCUGCUGCUGCCACAGGGAGCGCGUGAGACGAUGGCGGACGUUUUUGAGGCGCACAUAUGCGCAGUUGUUCGUGUGUGUUUGCGUGCUGCUCACGUUUGCUGGUGAAGAGGGGAUUGUGUGUGGGUCUGCACUCCUGUCCCCUUCGUGUAUUGUGCUUAAGAAUAGGGGCACAUGUGCCGUGAGCCGUCGACGGCGCACCGACGCUCCAUCCUACACAACUCUCUACCGGGUGCACGGUAGCAAUCUGGGUGGUUUGAUGUGCACCUCAGCCCCGUUGUGCGUGAGCAGCUGACCUGACGAGGACAAGCUUGGCAAGGACGCACAGCAGUGAGUAGGGGGAGGGUGCCACAAUUCCAUGCGGCGGCAGAAGCGUCCUGCCGUUUAUUUUUUUUUUAGCGGUGCGUGCGAGUAUUCAUUUAUUAUUUGUAUCAUUUUUUGUCCGGUCGUUUUGUCUGCUCAGCCCUCAUCGCCCCUUCUUCCUCGUGCGGCUUUCUGAAACCCUCGGCAUGCUGCAUAAAAACCUUCUCUUGUGUCUGUCUGUCUACCUCCUUCUUUGUGUGCUGAGCCUUUUCUUUGCCGAUAUGUGCAAAGGAGGAAAGGGGGAAGGGCGGGCGAGAGCUGAGAAUCACGAAAAAGCGGAGGUGUGCGAGAGGUGCUCUCUCCGACCUCUCCCACUCUCCUCUACCUCACUAAGGGUACGUUUUACGCCUAUAAAUACCCGCUUAGAAACCUUUGUGUGCGUAGAUGUGAUUGCAUUUUUUCCCUCUUUGGUACGGUGUGAUACAAGUCCAAUGUACACGAUAGAUAUCCCAUCAUGCGCACAUGUGUUGAUAAGGGCAUGCACACUCAAAUACACGCAAUCGAUGCCGCUCUCUCGCGUCCCCUCCCUACCACAUUCUCUGUUCCCUGUGCUUGCUUUCUUUUUUUUAAGGAUGCAAGUGAAAAGCAGCCAAGCCUGCAUCUCUCCCUGUAUGCGCGUGGGUGCGGGGGUGGGUAUGUGCUGUGCUGUUUUCUCAGCAUCGGCGUUCUUCUGUUUUUUUUUUGUGCUUUACUGGUGUUGCCUCUACCACCACUAUCACCAUCUCCCCUCCCUCCCUUUAUCACUCUCGAAACCGUCUCUUUUUUUUCGCGCCGACGUAACUCCUCCUCCACAGCCAUCACUACUUGGUGGAUGCCAGCGUUGGCGGUCUUUCACGUCGCCAACUCUAAAGGGACACAAACUUUUCGUGCAAUGAAUACUCAUGUCGUCCUUCCGCUUUUCUUGUUCAUCCUGCUCCGCAUUUUCUUUUUUUACUGUAGAUUUUGCAUUUUUUUUUUUGGAAGUUCCGGGGCUACUAUUCAGCUUGCUUGAACCCCUCGCGCCACCUGAGCACGGGGAUGAGGAAGACACAGGUACCUCGAUGCUCCUCCCUCUCCCUCUCCCUCUCUCCUCUUGCAGCACGUGUGCGGCACCGGUGGUCUCUUCUUAUAUAAGUGAGCACGUUCAAAAUAUCCUCUCCUUCAUGUACAAUAUAAACUCGCGAUGAGGGGAUGUCGUCG
rnacentral:misc_RNA from 1 species